GAUGAAGAACGUAUCGAAAUGCGAUACGUAAUGUGAAUUGCAGAAUUCAGUGAAUCAUCGAGUCUUUGAACGCACAUUGCGCCCCCUGGUAUUCCGGGGGGCAUGCCUGUCCGAGCGUCAUUGCUGCCCUCAAGCACGGCUUGUGUGUUGGGCCUCCGUCCUCCUCCCGGGGGACGGGCCCGAAAGGCAGCGGCGGCACCGCGUCCGGUCCUCGAGCGUAUGGGGCUUCGUCACCCGCUCUUGUAGGCCCGGCCGGCGCUUGCCGACACAUCAAUCUUUUUUCCAGGUUGACCUCGGAUCAGGUAGGGAUACCCGCUGAACUUAAGCAUAUCAAUAAGCGGAGG
rnacentral:misc_RNA from 1 species